rnacentral:rRNA from 1 species
GUCCACGCCCUAAACGAUGGCAACUAGUUGUUGGGGGGAAACCCCUUAGUAACGAAGCUAACGCGUGAAGUUGCCCGCCUGGGGAGUACGGUCGCAAGAUUAAAACUCAAAGGAAUUGACGGGGGCCCGCACAAGCGGUGGAUGAUGUGGUUUAAUUCGAUGCAACGCGAAAAACCUUACCUACCCUUGACAUGCCAGGAAGCCAGCUGAGAGGUUGGCGUGCCCGAAAGGGAGCCUGGGCACAGGUGCUGCAUGGCUGUCGU